GAAAGUGACAAAUUUCCAAGAUGCUUAUGUUUGGUUGGCCAUCCACUUUCCUAGGAAAGUUAUAUAUAAUUCCUAUUAUGCCCUUAAUAAAAAUUAGGUUUUUAAUGCCUCUUUAAUGCUUCUUUAAUGCUGAAGGGACUUUUUGGGAAAAAGUAAAAAUUGAGUGAUUCCCGUCUCAUGGGAAAGUAACUUUCCCAUGUUUCUCAUGGGAAAGACUUUCCCAUGAAAUGUGGGAAUCACAUUCCCAUGGGAAUACAACUUUCCCUUCUCUCUCCUUUGAAAACUCCAACCAAACAAGAGGCAUCUCAUUACUUUCCCGUUGACCACACUUUCCCCCUUCUUUUCCCGCGAACCAGACGAG
rnacentral:lncRNA from 1 species